AGUGUGUUAAAAUUAUAUUUCCCUUAGGGGUCUUAAUUAGUUGAAUGUCAACUAGAACUACCGAUAAAGGGCUUUUAUCGCAACGAGGAAACGCAGUUAAUCUAUGUCGACGUUCAGUUCACUGGCAACCACUUCCGUCGAAACCUAUGGCUAAUCAAAUCAAACCUGUAGCUCGGCGCCUCUCAUUUUCAAAUUUUCCGUAUCAUCAUUGUUUAGAUUUUUGUAGUAAAUAUUUCAAUUUUGACUGUCAAAAAACAUUUAGAGUUCCAUCGAAAAAGCAUUGCCAAAGUAUCUUAUAAAAGUUAACAUUCAAGUCCGUCAAACUUGCAUGGAAACUAACUGGUUAAUUUUCGAAACGACACAACCUUACGGAGCAUCCUUUCAACGGAUGGGUAGAUGAUGGGUGGAUUUCGUUGGGAAGAGAGUAUAACAGCUUAGAACAUCGUGACUGAUAAACAAUAUAAAUGAUAAUAAUAAUAAUAUUAUAAUAAUAUAAAU